rnacentral:rRNA from 1 species
GAUGAACGCUAGCGGCAGGCUUAAUACGUGCAAGUCGAGGGGCAGCAUGAUUGUAGCAAUACAAUUGAUGGCGACCGGCAAACGGGUGCGGAACACGUACACAACCUUCCAACAAGUGGGGGAUAGCCCAGAGAAAUUUGGAUUAAUACCCCGUAACAUAGCGAUGUGGCAUCACAUUGCUAUUAUAGAUUUUUCGCUUGUUGAUGGGUGUGCGGCUGAUUAGAUAGUUGGCGGGGUAACGGCCCACCAAGUCUACGAUCAGUAGCUGAUGUGAGAGCAUGAUCAGCCACACGGGCACUGAGACACGGGCCCGACUCCUACGGGAGGCAGAAGUAAGGAAUAUUGGACAAUGGACGCAAGUCUGAUCCAGCCAUGCCGCGUGAAGGAUUAAGGUCCUCUGGAUUGUAAACUUCUUUUAUAAGGGACGAAAAAAGGCCUUUCUAAGUCGUCUGACGGUACCUUAUGAAUAAGCCACGGCUAACUACGUGCCAGCAGCCGCCGGUAAAAC